AUUUAAGUAGUUUAUUAAAAAACAAAGAAUUGUGGAUUCUUAGAAUCUUUUUAGACUUAGAUC
rnacentral:tRNA from 1 species